CUCCAAAUCUUGCUGAACAAGUCUCUCAUAUUUCAAACUUCAUACCAGUGAAUGUCAAAUGCCAGAACAGACACAAAGCCUGAUUUAUUGGUUAUAUCGCCAUUCCACCGAACACUUGCAGCAAACAACCCCCUACUACAAUACCCUCUGCUACUGGAUCUUGGGAGAGGAGGCAGAAGCAGCCAAGGAGAUCUGGCAGAGCACGGGUCACUUUCACUUGUAGAACCAUAUGAAUGUUCUUCAAACUCAGAGAGCCCUUUGGUCUAACAGACAAAGGCAAAACAAGAUGCAGCAGUUGGAAGCUACAUGUUAGAAAAAUUCAAUUCAGAAAUAAGAUGUAAAC